UCCAAGGACCAAUACUUGAUGGUACACGGUGGUAAGCGACACAUGAGAUACUAUGUUGAUUAUCUGAGUCAACUGAUCCAAAGAUCAGGACUCAGCCACAUGGCAAUCAGCGGACGGAGGAAGGAAAAGCAAUUAACAUGUGAAUGAGAGAGAGAAAUUCAUUUCACACUUGUUUUUCUGCCUCUUCAAUUCAUACCUCUCUCUAACUCUCUGAACAAAAACACAAACACAUAUGAACAUAUGAGUGGUGGAGAAUCUGAGGCGGCGGAACCUAUGAAGGUCUGCGGCGGUGCACAUGAAUGUGCACGGCGGCUGUGCCCCCGGAGUUUAGACAGAACUCCCUCCUAGGGUUUUUCUACCUCCUGAACUCAAAUUUGUGUCCAAAAUCCCCAAAUAACUACUCUAAUCCCUUGAAACGAACCCAAACAGAAAUAAACCCUAACUCCAAUAAUAACUAAAAUCUCAAAAAAUUACAACCAAUCAAUUGCUGUUGGAAAAUUCACAUCAAUUGCUGCAACCAUGGUGGGAUUUGGGAGUGAGUGGGUUUCAUUGAUGAUGGUCAAGACACGGCAUAGUGGUGGAUCCAAAGAGGAAUGGAAUGGUUUCAAGGUGGCUUGGUGAUGAAGCAAGGAUGCAACUUGGAGAUAACUUGAUGAUGAAGAAAUUGGAAGCAACUUUGGAGCUUUGAAGACUUAACAAUAGGCCUUAGUUGUUGUUAGGUUUUUAAUUUGUAAAUAUUUGGUUUAUGUUCAAUGAAUGUAACAAAACUCUUCAAAGUAAUGCAAAUGUCAUUUUUGUAACU